AUGUACGGAGGCGGCAGCGUGGAUCUUCAAGCGCGCCGUCGUGCUCCGCUGCAAACAUUCAUUUCUGCCACCGUGGUUUUCAUACAAGUCACCCGGUGUUCGUUAUCACUGUCGUCCUUGUUCAUGCUAACUGCCAUAUUCGAUCUGAUUCUCUGGGUUGUUAUUACCUUUUGGUUUUUUAUUGUUGAAUGUAAGAUAUAG